rnacentral:lncRNA from 1 species
GUCUCACUUGGUGAGAUGCAGCCUGUGGCGCCAGCCUGUCAGCCUCCUUUCUGUUCUGAUGAGGGAGGGAGAGGUCGUAUGAUGCAGGCUAAGUUCAAUUUUGUGGCUACAGAAAGGGCCGUGGAUGGUACUUUUACCAACCCCUUAUCAUCUGAUGAAUGACUCUGUCUGGAGAGGCUGCCAGAAAAGGGGAAGGGCAAGUGCAUGGACAUCCUGGAGUCUCUCCUGCAGAUACGUGGAGUGGAUGAGAUCAUCAGCUGGCAGGUGUCUGUUGUCCCUUUUGGGUCAAAGGACCACAGCGGCACUCAGUCCAAAGGAGUCAUGUGGAACUCAAAUACCAAGAUGAGGUGAAGCUGAGAACACCCCUGGAUGCCUUCUUUUCAUCACUGUGAGCCAUCCUACCACAGCUGUGACCGACAAUCUUCACUAUCAGUUUGGCUGGACUUAAGUCACCAUGGAAGCACAACUUUGAGCGUGUCUAUGAGGGUGUCUCCAGAAAGGUGCAACCAACGAGGGAAGCCCCACCCUGAAUGUGGGUCACUGUCCCAUGGGCUGGGGUCCUGGCGUGAAUGAAAGGAGAAAGCCUGGUAAACACAGGAGCCAGCUCUUUGUUCCCUGGCUGUGGAUACAAUGUGGCCAGGUGCCUCACAGUCCUGUCUCCUUGUCUUCCCUGCCAAAUUGAGCUGCACUUUUAAACUGUAAAUCCUAGUAAACCCUUCCUCCCUUAAGUUGCUUUUGUCGUGUAUUUUGUUACAGCUUGAGAAAAGUAACCAAUAC